UCAAAGCACUGGGAAUUGGCUUUCAGCUUUCCUCCCCUUUCCUUAUCUCUCCUAAACCUUCCGACCCAAAUUUAACCUCUGCUCUUAGUCCUCUCCCAGCCUUCAAGCUGUGAAAAUAAUAGAGGAAUGAUAAAUAUGAACGCCCUCGUAAACUGCAAAGCCCUGGCUCUUGCUAAGUUUCUAGGAAUGACGUCCGGGCGAAGGUGAAGCCUUCCCAAAGGGUAGCCGCGGGCGUAGCGAGAGACGCGCACAGGGAGCGGCGACUGGGUGGGGAGCGCUUUGGAACCGCUGGUUCCUCCGGAGGCUCAGGUGUGUGCGGACAAGUAGCACCACCUCCUUUCCAGCCCGUCUGCCCCGCUGGGGAGGCAGAGUGUUUGCGGGACCUGCCAUCCUGAGACCAGAACUGGGAGGUGUGUGUAGAAACACCCGGGGUGGCCGUGGUUUGCUUGUUUAAAUUACAGACCAGGGUAGCAGCAGGUUACCUGAUGAAAGAAAGAAGAAGAAGCAGCUUUAAAGAACAAAGAAUAUGCCCAGAACAAAAUAUUGUUUUGUGAAUUAGAAACGACGUGUUUCUGAAAAAAUGCCUUCGUCUACUUUCCCUGGAAGAGGAUACUGGGUUGGAUCGUCAAUAAACAAGUUCCAUCACCUUUCUAAUGGACUGACCUGUGACAAAGUGCACCCCUUCCACCGUGAUGUCCAUGCCAUUGACAGCCCCAGACAAGGAGCCAUCCAGCUCUCUGAUGACCGAGCCAUCGAAC